AGAUUUUUGUCUGGGAACAGAGAAGCAGAGAGAAACGCGGUUGCCUUUGACGGUGCAACAUCAUUUGUUCUUCAUCGAGGAGACGAGCGCCCUUAGCCCGAAGAAGCGAAGAGAGUGGCCGAAGCAGUCGAGUCGGGGGAAAGAGGAUAAAUAGACGGCUUCCAGAUACGGCCUCGUAAAACAACCAGCAACCGAAGCGACGUUCGUUCGACCUUCGGUUCGCCCCAUUGUCAGUUUCCGUCGCGCCAAGGGACGGGGCGACCCUGAUCGUAAAGGGAGUUCGAGCUUCCGAGACGACGCGAAGCCGCGCAGAGAUAACGGAGGCAGUGGAUAUUCUCUAUCCACCGAGCUUCUCGCUGAUUACGCCGAUAAAUACGCCACGCCGAGGAGCUUUCAUUUGUUAGACUUACUGCCCGGGGGAAAGCUAAUAAGACACCUCCUCUAACAACGACAAAUACGGUAAUUUCUCCCAGAAAUGUUCGGAGGUCGGUAUUGAAACCGGCAGAUCCGGGAAUACCGAGUCGCGAUUCUUCGAGCCUCGCGGCUCGUUUUUAUAGAAAUUCGGAGCACUCGGCGAAAAAGCAGCAUGUCGGUGUACAUUAAUAUGAAUACAUAGCGAUGCUAAUGUUUUCGCUCUUUUAAUCAUCGUAAUAAAUUGAGAACGAAGAUCGCAGCAGUUCCGAGCCAUUUAUUUUUGUCGCGAACCGAUAAAAUCGGCGGUCCACGGAUUUCGAGGGAGCAGUGGCCAACGAUUCGGCGAUUAAAUACCGGUUAUGUUAAAGAGCAAAAUGAACUGGAAAAUAUGAAUUCCGGCGUCGCAGUUUCGGGCCGAAUAAUACCUUUCGUAAAAACCGGGAUUCGAGGGGAAACUGCGGCGAACGCUGGGAACAUUGUCGCCGGAAAAGGAGUUUCCUCUGUACGCGCCGGUACAUUUGCUUCGAUUCCGCAGUUGGGAACUAACAGGUAGCGAAGCGAUAGCGGCCGCUGAAAUAUAUAUAUAUCGGCUUUAUCGCGGCGUGUUUAAUGAGCAUGAAAUUAAAUCUCGGUUGUUGGGGAAUUAGGAAA